GAUGAACGCUAGCGGCAGGCUUAAUACAUGCAAGUCGAGGGGCAGCAGCUUUAUAGCAAUAUAGAGGCUGGCGACCGGCAAACGGGUGCGGAACACGUACACAACCUUCCUUUAAGAGGGGGAUAGCCCAUAGAAAUGUGGAUUAAUACCCCGUAACAUAUCGGUGUGGCAUCACACUGUUAUUAUAGUUUCGACGCUUGAAGAUGGGUGUGCGGCUGAUUAGGUAGUUGGCGGGGUAAAGGCCCACCAAGCCUUCGAUCAGUAGCUGAUGUGAGAGCAUGAUCAGCCACACGGGCACUGAGACACGGGCCCGACUCCUACGGGAGGCAGCAGUAAGGAAUAUUGGUCAAUGGACGCAAGUCUGAACCAGCCAUGCCGCGUGAAGGAUGAAGGUCCUCUGGAUUGUAAACUUCUUUUAUAGGGGGCGAAAAAAGGGAAUUCUUUCUCACUUGACAGUACCCUAUGAAGAAGCCCCGGCUAACUACGUGCCAGCCGCCGCGGUAA
rnacentral:rRNA from 1 species